CUACGGGUUGCUGCAGUGAGGAAUAUUGCACAAUGGGGGGAACCCUGAUGCAGCAACGCCGCGUGGAGGAUGACGCAUUUCGGUGUGUAAAUUCCUUUUAUAUAUCAAGAAAAUGACGGAAGCAUAUGAAUAAGCACCGGCUAACUCCGUGCCAGCAGCCGCGGUAAUACGGAGGGUGCAAGCGUUACUCGGAAUCACUGGGCGUAAAGGACGCGUAGGCGGGUUGGUAAGUCAGGUGUGAAAUCCUACAGCUUAACUGUAGAACUGCACUUGAAACUUCUAAUCUAGAGUAUGGGAGGGGGAGAUGGAAUUAGUGGUGUAGGGGUAAAAUCCGUAGAUAUCACUAGGAAUACCUAAAGCGAAGGCGAUCUCCUGGAACAUUACUGACGCUAAGGCGUGAAAGCGUGGGGAGCAAACAGGAUUAGAUACCCCCGUAGUC
rnacentral:rRNA from 1 species